rnacentral:tRNA from 1 species
GCCUCCGUGGCGCAAUUGGUUAGCGCGUUCGGCUGUUAACCGAAAGGUUGGUGGUUUGAGUCCACCCGGGGGCG